GAUGAACGCUGGCGGCGUGCCUAAUACAUGCAAGUCGAGCGAACGGACGAGAAGCUUGCUUUUCUGAUGUUAGCGGCGGACGGGUGGGUAACACGUGGAUAACCUACCUAUAAGACUGGGAUAACUUCGGGAAACCGGAGCUAAUACCGGAUAAUAUUUUGAACCGCAUGGUUCAUAAGUGAAAGACGGUCUUGCUGUCACUUAUAGAUGGAUCCGCGCUGCAUUAGCUAGUUGGUAAGGUAACGGCUUACCAAGGCAACGAUGCAUAGCCGACCUGAAAGGGGAUACGCCCCCUAGGGAACUGGGCCGCGGCCCGGCUUCCUACGGGAGGCAGAAGGAGGGAAUCUUCGCGAAGGGGGAAAAGCUUAACGAAGCAACGCCGGGUGAGUGAUGAAGUUUUUCGGAUCGUAAAACCUUGUUAUUGGGGAGAAACAUAGUUAUAAAGAGCUUGGCCAAUUUUAAGGGAACCUAAUAAGAAGACCCCGGCUAACUAGGU
rnacentral:rRNA from 1 species